AUUGAACGCUGGCGGUAGGCUUAACACAUGCAAGUCGAGCGGAGAUGAGGUGCUUGCACCUUAUCUUAGCGGCGGACGGGUGAGUAAUGCUUAGGAAUCUGCCUAUUAGUGGGGGACAACAUUCCGAAAGGAAUGCUAAUACCGCAUACGUCCUACGGGAGAAAGCAGGGGAUCUUCGGACCUUGCGCUAAUAGAUGAGCCUAAGUCGGAUUAGCUAGUUGGUGGGGUAAAGGCCUACCAAGGCGACGACCUGUAGCGGGUCUGAGAGGAUGAUCCGCCACACUGGGACUGAGACACGGCCCAGACUCCUACGGGAGGCAGCAGUGGGGAAUAUUGGACAAUGGGGGGAACCCUGAUCCAGCCAUGCCGCGUGUGUGAAGAAGGCCUUAUGGUUGUAAAGCACUUUAAGCGAGGAGGAGGCUACUGAGACUAAUACUCUUGGAUAGUGGACGUUACUCGCAGAAUAAGCACCGGCUAACUCUGUGCCAGCCGCCGCGGUAACAC
rnacentral:rRNA from 1 species